rnacentral:lncRNA from 1 species
CUUUAUGAACCAAUUGAAACUUUAGAUUCAUACUAGAACUAUGAUGAUUCAAUAAGACCUUCAAACUAAAUCCACAGAUUCCAUGAGUAAGGACUCUCGGAUCACAUUUGUUUAAGUUUAUGCUUUGAGUAAAAUAAAAGUAGAAAUAGGAAUUUGUAAGAAGAAAUUUAGUUAUAAAAAAUUGUCAAGUAAUUAAUUAUUUGGCAUUUAUUUUAUGGGUCCCAACCCAUGUGAUCCGCCAAAUGAGACGUCUUAUGUGAUUGGGUGUGUCAUGGUGCGUUAUCCUCAUAUAAGUUUCUCUCUUCUUAUGGAUAUAAGUAUAACUGUAUAUGGGUGGCGCUAUGUAGUGCACCAUAGGGGUUCUUUAAAAUUAUUUUAUGUGCAUUUUAAUCGUUCCCUCGUUGUUGAUUUGAAACACCAAAAAUAUCUCUCUUAAAUUUUAAAAAUAUAUAAAAAAAAUUAUGUGUUAAAAGAAUGCUUUAUGUCUCUAGCCUAACAGAUAGCACACGUAUUGUACACUUUUGCUUUUUUCUUCUCUGAACUUUCACUCCUCUUUUCUUUGAUUCUUCAAACUUCACUGAUCUUUUAUCUCUAAAAAAAUUAAACUAUCUCUAGAAGCUUAUUACCAAUUUUCUGAUCUAAUUAUUUAUAUAAGUAUUCUUGAUUGAUUAUCACUUCUUUAAUUUUUUUAGGGGAUUUCUCUUAGAUGAAAGAAUUAAGGUUAUGUUCUAAGAAAUUUUUAACUCCCAUGUUAUAGUUUUGAUAAUGAGAUUAUCCUUAAAUUUUCAACAUAUGAAAGUACUUCGAAACAACUAUUAAUUCGUUGAAUGAAAUAUUCUAAUGAAUUUAGAUUUUGGUACUUAUUAUUUAUUGAACUUUUUCUUUUAAAUUACAUUACUAUUUGAGCUUUGUCCUUGUGACAUUAAAUUCUUGAUGGCGCCACUAAAUGUAAGUUUUAAACUCAUGUUCUAUUUAUCCCAUGUGCAAACUCUACCUUUAAUUUAUAUUUCAAUUUUGUGGCCUAUUUCCGAAUUUCUAAUUUCACAUAGAAGGCAUGUUAAACUUACCUUAGAUACAAUAUUGGACUUAUAGACGCGGUUCAUGGUCUCUAGUCCAAAUGAAGAAAUCAAAUACAUUAUACACCAUGUGCAUUAGUGUUUUGUUUGUGGUUGGAAAGAGGGGGGGGGGGGGGGGGGGGGGGUGCGGUGUUUUUUAUUGGUGCAGGAAGAAAGCUCUUCAGGACUACUCGGAAAAAAAAAAAGAGCAACACAUAGUCCAAUUCGCAUUGUAUAGAAGUAAAACCAAAGCAUUAGACUAAAAGCACACGUUAUUUAUAUUUUUAGUUAUCGAUAGCAACUUUUUCCCUCUUAUUAUCAUCAAUUCGUUUAACUGUUUGCAAAAAAUGAUGGCAAUAUACAAUAAUAUUUUGUUGGUGAUCUUGAAAGCUAAUUCUUUUGAAACAGGAAGACUGGUAUCGUAUUUCAAAACACAUAAAAGACGUAUCCAAGCUUUCAAUGUGAUCUAAAGAUCUCAUAGCUACAUUCGAAAUUAAUAAAUGAUCUCUAAGAGUUACGAAAAUGAUAUCAAUGAAAUUACAAACUCUUAAGAGUUUAUAGAGCAUUAAUUGAUGCAAAUCCAAUACAAACUGCUUACUAGUACAGCCUCAAGAGAGCCAUUUAUUUUUCAGUAGGCAAAUUAAGCAACUGCAGCAGUCACUAGCAGCUUGCCAAGAGAUAGCAUAGAUCAAUUGUUCAUCUUCAUAAGCUUUCUUUGAGGAAGUUUCAAGCUUCGAUUCUUUGGAGUCAUUAUAUCGGUUGUGUUCUCGUUUUCGAGCAUCGAAUAAACUUCCAGCAUAGAAGGUCUCUCGUUUGGGUUCUCGUGAACACAUAACAAAGCUAUUUGCAGACCUGUCAAUAAUUUCCAUAAGGAAUGCGUAUCAUCUACUGAUGGAUCCAUUAACUUCAUGCCUUUCCCAUCCUUGCACAACUUGUAGGACUGAAAACAUCAAAUAUGUUAUUGAGUUACAUUCAAUUAAAUAGCACUAUAAAGUUUUGAUCAAUUGUGCAUUAUAAAGGGGGUUAUGCAGAAACUUACAUACUCUACAAGGCUUAAAUUUUCAUUAUGACCAUAUUAAAUAAAAAAUCUCCUUCCAUUUAUAAUUUGCAAAAGUGAAAUCCCAAAACUGUAGACAUCAGAUUUAGUAGAGUAGAUGCCUCUUCUACAUACCCAAGAGGGAUGCAGCCGUUGUGGUACCGAGUACUGUGUGACCUAAAAGAUUAAGUUGAUUGGUAAAGGUUUAACAAUAAUAUUAAAGACAAGUUGAAGAAAAUAAACAUAUAUAUACUUACUGUGUUCCAGCAAUUCAAUUUGUAUUUCCUUCAAGAUCAUCUUUCACAAAAAUUCUAGCCAAGCCAAAAUAUGAUAUUUUAGGUUUCAAAUCUUCAUCCAACAAAAUGUUACUAGCUUUCAAUUCUUGAUGAAUAACUAUUAAUCUAGAAUAUUCUUGAAGAUAGUGAAACCCUUAAGUAAUUCCUUGAAUGAUAUGAAUACGUUUUUUCCAAUCCAAAAUAAACUUUCGGAUGGGAUCUACAUAAAAUAUAAGUAUAGUUUGACGGUCUGUAGCAUUAGCAUUUUGGAGAUGAGAAAGCAAAUAAAGGAUUUCGUAGAUGAAGAAUUGCUCGCUGGAAGAAUAAGUUGAAUAAUCUGCAUUUCCUCCUCCGAUGGAAAGAAGGGUAGUGAUUGUUGGGUUCUUUGUUUUCACAGUGUGCAUGAAGUUGGAGAAUUGUUCUUCAUCAGAAGGUGACAAAGAAAGCUUGUAGGACGUUGGAUCGACAUAAGCAAAACCACAAAUAAGGUGAGUGAAGAGAGCACAUAAUUUAUAUCUAAAAUGGGGAAGCCAGGCCUGGUUCCCAAUAACUAGCUGUGAUUAAAGUUUGUGCUUUUGUAGGAAGCGAUUCUGAAAAUAUAAAAAUCUGGAGGACAAGAAUGACAAAUUUGGAUGCCAUUUUGGAAAGUCAGCUGCUUGAAACAUGCCUAGUCUGUAUGUGUUUUUAUACACACAUAAUGUAGCAGGGAAAUUAUCCUAUAUUGACCGAGAUUAGUUAUGGGCCUAAAUAAUAUAUGUUUUAAGCAACCCUCAACCCAUGAGUUAAGUUCGGAAGUUUAUAAACAGCAUCAGAGUCAGAGUCAAGUUAUGGACAAAUGCGCUUAUGUUACCAGACUAAAAGAUCAGCGUGCAUUUGAUGGAAUGAUAGGAAAAAUAUCCCACCUUAGUAGUUAAGAUUAGUUACUAAGUUAAUAAUAUAAGAUUAAGGCAACCUUCAACUCAUAUAAAGCAAGAGUAUGAAUCACAAUUUCAUAAAACUAGGUCAAUUCGAUAUUUUAUAAAGAUAUACGAGAUACAACUCGAGGUCGCUCAUGAGUGGGGACGAGUUAGAUUAAGGCAAUCUUCCACUCAUAUUACGUUGAUCAUGGACCGAAUCAACAUAGGAAACAAAAGUCGAGGAAGUUGAAUCUUCUUGCCUUCAAGUUGCAUGGAUGGGACUUGGGAGUCAUACAUCGAAAAGGUUGUCUUCGUUCAAUGACGAUCGGCUUCAAGUUCUUAAAUUAAGCUACGACGUUUACCUCCUCUUAGCUUGACUUCUGAAGGCUGAAGCCAUGUCAUUGUCUACGAGUAGAAUUUUUUUUUGGGGUGGGGGGGGGGGGGGGGGCGCGGGGCGGGGAAGAGGAAGUCUGUCGUUACUUGUUAGGAAAACAUCAUGACAAGAGAAUAGUGAAGAAAAAAAGAAAAGAAAAGGAAAAAAACAAACUCACAAACACUUAGUUAUCGACCCCUAUGCCACUGGCCUAUAGAACUCACUCCCUCAGAAGUGAUUUCAAGUUCCUGUAAUUUUCUGUAUAAUAUAAGAACAUUUUCCUGUUUAAAGCAGAGGCAGUAACAGUGUCAGAAUAGAAAGCGUCCUGAUGGUAAGAUUAAGUAGUAUUGUGAUUUUAAAUGGGGGAAAAAAGUCCCAUAUGCAUAUUUCCUUUUGUGAUUUAGUUUCAAGUCAAGACGACCCUCUCCAUUUUAGUAUAAAAAUCUAUACAAAUGUACGUUUUACUCAAUGUUUACGUAGAAACAAAUGAGUUGCUGAUUUAGUACCACUCUUGUAUUCUGGGUGGGAUUUGGCUCCUCCAUAUUUGUAGCCAAUAUUUUACUUUGAUGAGAAAAUCAAAUAAUGUUUGAACAAAUAAUUAUUUUUUUUCUAUAUACUUUCUUAAAAUGUAUGGAGCGAGUAAAGUAUAAAUUGAUUUUUUAGUCCUUUGACUCUUCCAAAACUUAAACUCAAAUUAAUGGUCAAUUAGAUAUUGCUACUUAAUUAUGAACCCAUUCCAUGGGACUUUCUCUCUCUUCUUCUCUCUGAACCUCCAGAAGCAUUUCAACUUCUUCUUUCACUAGAAAAUCAGCUCUAUGAGUUGGAUUUCCGGCGAAAUUUUUUUUUUUUUCAUUUCUUUUUAUUUUCUUUGCUUAUUUUCUCCACUCAUAUCCUCAGAUCUGUGGUGGUUUUGUUAUUCCACUCAGAUUUUUAAAUCUAUGGUGGUAUGUUCUUCCACUCAGAUCUAGAGAUCUGUGGUGGUUUGUUAUUGUUUCUCUACCCAAAUUUACAAAUAUGGGGUUGUUCAUUUUAUUUUGCUUGAUUUUGUAUUUGAUGAUGCAAAUUUUUGACAAGAAAAGUUUAUACUUUGUGGGAAGUUUCUACUUUGUAGAGAAUAAACUAUCUAAGAUGCAUCAAAAGUGGAGUCCCCUCCUUGCUCAUGUUGUCAAGGUUCAGGUAGAUGUAGCCAUUAGAUGCAGUGAGAAUAUAGCAGAUUUGGGAGCUGUAGUCAGGGACUCAGAUAACAAGAUCAUAGUUGCAGCAAUUCAACAAAUUCAAGUUGGUGGAGAUGUUAAAUAUUUGGCAGUUGAAGCUAUAAAACGGGGUUUUCAGGCGGCCAUAAAUACAGAGUUUCAAUGUAUAGUUGUAGAAACUGACCACCAGAAUGUUGCAAGCUUAGUUAACAACAAGCAGGGUAGCAAAUCAGAAAUUUUAUGGAUAAUUUCAGAAAUCCAAAGUAACAACAAGGAUUUUUAACAUGUAAAAUAUUAGUGCAUCUUUGAAUUCUGUAUUGCUUAUGCCCACUCCUUAGCUAAAUUAGCUUUAGGACACAAUAGUCUUAUUGUAUGGCUAGACUCUACCGGCAAAGAUAAAAUGUUUUCAGUUUUCAUUAAUGUGAAUUAAUGAAAGGCUUACUCUCUUUAUAAAAAAAAAAGAUAUUGCUACUUAAAAUCAUUCAGCCAAAUAUUGUAAAAACUAUAAUUUCACCAAGUUAAAGUUUCACUAAUUAUUGAAUUGUAGAGUGUGCUAUCAUUUCCUAGCUAGAAAUUUAUUUAAUUCGAUUAAUUUACAAUCAUUUUUAUUUUAUUUAAUUAAUUAAUUAAAGUGAAUUAUUAUGUAUAAAUUCUAUAUAUGUAAAAUUUUUAAAUCCAGUGCUGAAUUGAAUUCUAUUAAAUUUUUUAUAAUUUUUUGUCACACCAGAAUUUUUAAUAGUUUAGUAUAAAUAUUGAUAGCACAUAGUAUAUAGGAUUAAGAGAGAUUGAUUUUGAGUGCUACAAGAUUUUUAUGAUUGUAUGCACAAGGGUUUAAAAACAAAGUGUGAAUUUAAUUACACUAAACGAGGGUGCAUUUUUAUGAUGAAAUAAAAACUAGUUGUAUAAAUGGUUCCAUAAUUAGUUUCUUUUUAAUUUUAAACCACCAAGUGAUAGGGGGUUAGGCAUGACCUUUACCUGUGAUAUAAAUUAGUGGUGAAGAAAUACAAAAGGAGGGGGAUAUAAGCCAAAACCUCCCCAAGUAAAUGCAAAUACAUAAGAAUGAAGGCAAAAGUAUGAAGCAACAAUUGAAAAAAUAGAACAAGAAAUCCUAUCGCUUGAUGUGAGGAAUCUCCUUAGCAUCUAAAUAAAGAAUGGCAGAUCAGCCAACCGGAAGAUCUCGAGAAGACAAAAAACGUCGGCUAACCCGAUGAGUGCAAGCCCAAUUAGCCAGAAAGUCAGCGGCAAAAGUAGCCUCCCUGAGUACAUGUCUUACCACAAUAGGGAACAAAGAUGUCAAAUCACACACUCGACGCAACGAGUAAGCAUAGUCCCAACGAACAGGACCCUGAGAAUGAAUCCAAGAAACCACAGUGGUGGAGUCUGACUCUACUUUUAACACAGAGUGUCCAAGCUGAAUUGCGAGAUCUAAUCCCUCAUAGAAAUCCAUAAGCUCAGCAUAAAGUAUUGGUUAGUGACCAAGAAAAGAUCCAAAUGCAGCCAAAACCUUUCCCCGAUGAUCACAGAGAAUACCACCAAAGGCAGCCAUCCCAGGAUUGCCCCUAGAGCAACCAUCCACGGUAAGUUUCACAGCCCCUAAAGGCUGCUGAAUCCAAGAGACCAAGCGAAUUGGCCUCUUGGGUGGUGCGAUUAUUCGCAAACCCUCUACAAUCCUAGAAUCCAACACUCCUCAAAGCUGGGAAGUUUUAAAACCAAAAGCAGAACUAGUAAGCCCAAGGUCCAAUCCCGCCCGGUGGAUAAUUACAAUGACUGGGAAAGAUUGUGAAUCAAAUUUGAAAACGUUACGAGCCUUCCAAAUCUGCCACAAGAUAAAACAAGGUAUGAAGACUCGAAGAUGUCUCCGAGAGGGGGUGCACCGUCGCCAAUGAAGAAGCAGAGCAUGAGGGGUCAGAAACACAACUGUACGUAUACUUAGAAUUCGCCAAAAAUGAUCCCAAACUAACCUAAUCCGCGGGCAAGCAAGAAAUAAGUGAUGAGCAGUCUCAGCAGCCUGACCAUAAAUGCAUCGAGAAACCAUGUAAAAACCCCUCAAACAUAAGGUAUCAUCAGUAGCCAAAAAUCCAUGUAACAUCCACCAGAGAAAGAAAGAAAUCCAAGAAGAGAUGAGCCGCUACCAAAUAAGAGAAAAUACCUCAAUUCUUGGUUUAGUACAACGCACAAGCUCCCACACUGAUCGUAACUGGAAAGUGCCAUCAGUAGUGAGAUCCCAUCUAAUCAAGUCUGGAUCCUCCAUAGAAAUAAGGAAUAAAAGAAUAUGUACCACGAUCGAAUAGGGUAACACAUCCUGGAGUUUACCUCGAUCUCACACUGUACCCUGCUAGUAAAAGAAAACUCAAACCAUAGAAGCCGUUGCAGGGUUAUAGAGUGCCAAAGGAGAAGACUCUAGCCAACAGUCACACCAUAAGCUGCAUUCCCCCCGUCCUAUCAACCAACGCACAUGGGGCCCUACAAUACACCGAAUCGAGCAUAGGCAUCUCUAGAUAAGAGAAGUAAGAUAACGAAACUGAACUAGGCUUGGAUGUGUGGCUAUACAAUACUUAGACUUUAUAUACGAAACCCAUAGAGAACUCUGUUCUCGAAAGCGCCACCAAAGUUUAAGUUCUAAAGCCUUAGCCAUAUCAACAAAAGACGGAAUACCUAGGCUGCUCUCGUCUACUGGGUAACAAACAACUGGCCAUCUACACUAGUGAAUCUGACGCUUUGUAUUAGAAUCUCCCCAUAAGAAUCGUGUAAAAAUUCUCUUUAAGAGAUUAAUCAUAGCAGAUGAAGGGCUAAGAGCGUGAAACAAAUGCAUUAUUAUAGAAGAUAAGACAUGACAGAUGAGCACCAGUUUCCCUCCAAAAGAGAGCAGUCGGUUGGCCCAUCCUAAAAUCCUAUUCUUAACCUUCUAAACCAUAUAAUCAAAUAGAGAAAUCUUACAACAACCCUUAAAGGCAGGGCAACCAAGAUAAAUAAACGAAAAUUUGUGAAUUUAAAAACCAGUAACUGAAUGGACAAAGCAGUAGCUGAAUACCCAAUGUAAAAACUACUAUUGUCCUUAUUGAUACAUUGUCCAGAAAUAGUCUCAUAAUGAUGGAGGAAAACUGAAAGACGCCGUAAACUGGACUUACUCCCAUUAACAAAGAUAACAAUAUCUUCUGCGAAGCUCAGAUGAGAGACUGUUAUAGGGGCCGAGGUUCUAUAUGCCAUGGAAUGAUACCAAGAAUAAAGGGAAUCUAUAUCUCGAGAGAGAAACUCAGCUACAAUAAUGAAAAGACGCGGGGAUAGAGGAUCGCCCUGACACAGGCCUCCAUGAGACUGAAAGAAACAAUGGCAAGAACCAUUGACCAUAAUAGAGUACCACAGACCAAAGAUGGCCCAAUAAAUGAGGGAAAUCCAUCGCUCUAAAAAACCAAAGCUCUGAAGCAUCUAAAGAAUGAACGACCAGGACAUCCUAUCAUAAGUCUUAGCUAUAUCCAUUUUAAGAACAAUAUUAUUCCCACGGGUCCUCUUAUUUAAAUCAUGAACAAGCUCCUGCACCAACAAAAUAUUAUCAUGGAUUACCCUACCCGGAAAAAAUCCACUAUGUGAAGAAGAGAUAAUCCGAGGCAGAAUGGGCGAGAGUCGUGUAACUAGUAACUUCGUAAGGAUUUUGCUGUUGACGUUAUAUAGGCUAAUAGAUAUGAAGUCUGCCCAAGUUGAUGGAGAAGUGUUCUUCAGUAGAAGGACCAGAAGUGUACUCUGAAAGCCCCGUAGCAUAGCCGAACCUGAGAAAAAAUCCAUCACAGCAGCCAUCAAAUCACAACGAAUAAUUUCCCAGCAAACCUAGUAAAAUCUGCUACAGAAACCAUCAGGCCCGAGCACACUCAAAGGAUCUAUAGGGAAUACAACUUGGCGAACCUCCUCUAUGUUAGGAACUCUACAUAGCUCUACAUUCUUCUCAUCUGAAACUAAAGAUGAAAUAUCGUCAAAGUUUGAUAGUUGAAUGUUGGCUGAAAGGUGAAUUCAAACACCUUUACCAGCAAACGACAGCGUUUCCAGUAGUGUUUAGAAGCUUUAAGUGCUCACGUGAGAAGCACAACCAAUCCUUAUUCCAAAACGGCAACAUAUGAGUUCGUUUUGGGUAUGCUCAACUUAAGUGAAGUCACGGGUUCAUCACGUGAUGGUUAGCUGAAGCUGAGUUUGUUAAAUAACAGACUCAUAGCACACGUGUCAAGGAGCUGUGCAAUCUGGGUUGUUAGAGCUGUUACAAGACUGGUAUAUAAGCUGCAGCCUUCUGGUUUUGGAGGUCAUCGUGUGAAAUAGAGAUUGAGAAAACUCAGAGAGGAAAUGUCUUACUUGUUCUUAUUCUUAGAAUCUCUGUAACAAAUUUCUUGAAUCAUUCAAUAAAGCUGUCUGAGGAAUUCACUCGUGGAUGUAAGCCAUUAAUGGCUGAACCACGUUAAAGCUUGUGCUCUGUUUUGUGUGAUUAGUUUUCUUGCUGGUUUUGGUUUCUGAGUCAGUUAUUAAUCCUUUUUGUUACGAGUCUUAUUGGGUUUAGUUGAUUCUCUGAAGCUGAUCUAAGCUGAUAUUGCAUCUUGAUUAAUCUUGGCUGAGAAUCUUGGGAGGAUCUGGUUCUUCAUCAAAGCAAAGCUAACGAACCAGAUUCAACAAUUGGUAUCAGAGCUUGGUUCUUAACCAAGAUUCAGGUAUGGCUACUCAGAAGGUAGAUUUGGAGAAGUUUAAUGGCAGAAACGACUUCAACAUGUGGAAGGUUAAAAUCGAGGCUCUCUUGGUUACUCAAGGUCUUGGUGAUGCACUUGAAGCUUCAACCAAGAUAGAAGGGAAGGGAGCAUCAUCUUCAAAGACUCCAGAGCAGAUGGCUGAAAUUGACAAGAAGGCAAAAGGUACCAUAAUUCUUAGCCUUGCUGAUUCUGUAAUUAGAGAAGUUGCCAAGGAGACAUCUGUUGCUGGUUUGAUGGAGAAAUUGGAAAGCCUGUACAUGAAGAAAUCCUUGGCCAACAGGCUGUAUAUCAAAAAAAAGAUGUUCACUUUAAAGAUGACAGAAGGCUCAUCACUGGAUAAGCACAUUGGUGAAUUCAAUCAAGUGUGUGACACACUUGCCACAAUUGAUGAAGCUUUAGAUGAUGAGGGAAAAGCUUUGCUACUGGUUAGCUCUCUUCCAGGGUCUUACAAGAACUUUGUUGAUGCACUCAUGUAUGGGAGACAAACUCUUUCAUUGGAUGAAGUUAAGUCAGCUCUAAACACAAGGGAGCUGCAAGAAAAGAGACAUAAUCUUGAUCAAGAAACUGGGGAAGGGUUAACUGCAAAGGGUCAGCAUUACAAGAACCAGAAAAAGAAGCAAGGGAAGACCAAAGACAAGAACAAGACUCUUAAGUGCUUCCAGUGCCAUAAGGAAGGUCACUUUAAGAGAGAUUGUCCAGAAAGGAAGAACAAACAGCACAAAGAGCAAAGAAGUGAAAAUGGUGAUGCAGCAGUAGUUGAAGAAGAAGGUUAUGAGUCAGCUGGAGUCCUAAUUGCCUCUGAUGUUGAUCAAGAAGGUAAGUGGGUGCUUGACUCAGGGUGUUCUUUUCAUAUGUGCCCUUUUAAACAUCAUUUCUCUGAGUAUCAAGAAUAUGAUGGUGGUAGGGUGAUGAUGGGGAAUAAUGCAAUCUGUAGAGUUAUAGGGAUUGGGGUUAUUAAACUGAAAUUGCAUGAUAACUCAAUUCUUGAACUCAAACAAGUGAGGCAUGUACCUGAUUUAAAAAGGAAUUUGAUCUCACUGGGGAUGUUGGAUCAGAUAGGUUGUGUUGUUAAGGUCCAGUAGGGUAUAAUGAGUGUUGUAAAUGGGUCAUUGGUUCUGUUGAGAGGAAUAAGAAAGAAUGGUCUCUAUGUGUUAGAAGGGACAAUUGUGACAGGGAUGAUGUCAGUGUCAUCUAGCUCUAGUGUUGACAAAACUAGGCUAUGGCACCUAAGGCUUGGACAUAUGAGUCUGAGAGGCCUUAAAGAGUUGUCAAAACAGGGGCUGUUAGGAAGUGAUACAAUUGGUGAGAUGGUGUUUUGUGAAGAUUGUGUCCUAGGGAAAUCUACAAGAACCAGUUUCAAGUCAUCAGUUCACACUACUAGAAGCAUUCUGGAUUACAUACACUCAGACUUGUGGGGACCUGCACAAGUAGUAUCACUGGGAGGUGCAAGAUAUUUUUUGUCUAUAAUUGAUGAUUUCUUAAGAAGAGUCUGGAUUUAUGUGCUUAAGAGUAAAAAACAGGUGUUUGAAAAAUUCAAGAACUGGAAGGUCUUGGUUGAAAAACAGACUGGAAAAACAGUGAAAAAGUUGAGGACUGAUAAUGGAUUGGAGUUUUACAACCAGACGUUUGAUGAAUUUUGUGCAAAGGAAGGUAUUGCAAGGCAUAAAACUGUAAGAAUGACACCUCAGCAGAAUGGCUUAGCUGAGAGGAUGAAUAGGACUCUCAUGGAUAAGGUGAGGUGCAUGAUGAUUCAAGCCAAGCUACCUAAGAAUUUGUGGGCUGAGAUUCUCAACACAGCUUACUACCUGGUGAAUUUGAGCCCCUCCACUGCCAUUGAAUUCAAGACACCUUUUGAGCUUUGGUAUGGUAAACAAGCCAGUUAUAAAGACCUUAAGGUGUUUGGUUGUCUGAGUUAUGCCCAUAUAAGCCAGGGAAAACUAGCACCCAGAGCACUGAAAUGUGUGUUCAUUGGGUAUCCAGAGGGAACCAAAGGAUAUAAGCUUUGGUGUACUGAUCUCUCUCCACCCAGGUGCAUAGUAAGCAGAGAUGUUAAGUUCAAUGAAGAAGCAGCAGUGGAUAGUAUUCAAAGAAACAGUGUGAGAGCUGAUCAAGUUUAUGAGGAACAUUUUGAGGUGGAGUCACCUGGCAACCUGAAUCAGAAUGAUGAUACAGAAUCAGCUGAAAGUGCUGAUGAUAUUGGAAGACAUGAGUCACUUCAAGAAGCUGGAUCAACUCAAUCACAAGUAAUGGAUUAUCAGUUGACAAGAGAUAGACAGAAGAGACAAAACAAAGCACCUAAGAGGUAUGGCUAUGCUGAUCUGAUUGCUUUUGCAUUACAUUCUGCUCAUGAGAUAAAUGCUGAAGAACCACAGAAUUUCAAAGAAGCCAUUAACUGUCAGUAUGCAAAAGAAUGGAAGAAAUCUAUGGAUGAAGAAAUGACCUCACUGUACAAGAAUUGUACCUGGGAACUGGUUAAAAGACCUCAGAAUAGGAGGAUUGUUGGUUGCAAGUGGAUAUACAGAAUCAAAGAGGGUAUGACUGCAGCUGAACCAAGGAGGUUUAAGGCUAGGUUAGUUGCAAAGGGGUACACUCAGAUGGAGGGUGUUGAUUUUAAGGAAGUUUUCUCCCCUGUAGUAAGGCAUGCUUCCAUAAGAGUAUUGAUGGCUAUAACAGUAACACAGAAUCUAGAGCUGGAACAGCUUGAUGUUAAGACUGCUUUUUUGCAUAGAAAUCUUCAGGAAGAAAUUUUCAUGAGUCAACCAGAAGGAUAUGAAGCUCCUAACAGAAGAGAUUAUGUAUGUUUGCUAAAGAAAUCCCUAUAUGGCCUGAAGCAAUCUCCCAGGCAAUGGUACCUCAAAUUUGAUGAGUUUAUAACCACUCAUGGAUUUCAGAGGUGCAAUUAUGAUUGCUGUGUCUACCUUAAACAGCUAAGUCAUGAGAAACAUAUCUAUCUACUGCUAUAUGUAGAUGAUAUGUUGAUUGCUUGUGAAGAAAGGUCUGAAAUAGAUGCUUUGAAGACAUUGCUUGGCACUGCAUUUGACAUGAAGGAUUUAGGAAGUGCUAAAAGGAUAUUAGGAGUUGAUAUAAGAAGGAACAGAAGUGAAGGGCUGGUAUUUUUGUCUCAAGAGAAAUACUUGAAGAAAAUACUUGAAACCUUUGAUAUGGAGGAUUCUAAACCUGUACAAGGCCCCUUAGUAGCACACUUCAAACUUUGCAACCUAUAUUGUCCAAAGUCUGAAGAAGAAAGACUUGAGAUGGCCAAUAUUCCAUAUGCAAAGGCAGUAGGAUGCCUUAUGUAUGCCAUGGUGCUGACUAGGCCUGACAUCUCACAUGCUGUGAGUGUUGUCAGCAGAUACAUGGCAUCUCCAGGCAAAGAACACUGGAAAUGGGUGAAAUGGAUACUAAGGUAUCUAAAGGGUACUUUGAAUGUUGGUCUGGUAUAUGGAAAGAACUCUGGAACAGAAGAAGGGUUGUGGGGCUAUGUAGAUUCUGACUAUGCAGGAGAUCUGGACAGAAGAAGAUCACUCACAAGAUACUUGUUUAUGUUGAAUGGCUGCCUGAUAAAUUGGAAGGCAAACUUACAGCAUGUAGUGGCACUCUCCACAACAGAAGUAGAAUUUACAGCUGCCAUUGAAGCUGCAAAAGAGGCCAUUUGGCUUAAGGGCUUAAUCACUGAGCUCGGUUUAAAACAAGAGUCUGUACCAAUUUUCUGUGACAGCUCCAGUGCACUGCAUUUGUGUAAGAAUCCAGCUCACCAUGAGAAGACCAAACAUAUUGAUAUUAAACUUCACUUCAUAAGAAAUGAAGUCUCCAAGGGAGUUAUCAAGAUGGUUAAAAUACAUACUGAUGACAACCCCUCUGACAUGCUCACGAAGGUGGUUCCUGCAACUAAGUUCAAAAAAUGUUUGGACUUAGUUGGUAUCUGCAAAACUUGAUAUGAAUCAGUUGGUGAAUGUAUCAGUUGCAGGGUGUUUGAUUCAAGGUGCAGUAUUGUUGGCUGAAAGGUGAAUUCAAACACCUUUACCAGCAAACGACAACGUUUCCAGUAGUGUUUAGAAGCUUUAAGUGCUCACGUGAAAAGCACAACCAAUCCUUAUUCCGAAACGGCAACAUAUGAGUUCGUUUUGGGUAUGCUCAACUUAAGUGAAGUCACGGGUUCAUCACGUGAUGGUUAGCUGAAGCUGAGUUUGUUAAAUAACAGACUCAUAGCACACGUGUCAAGGAGCUGUGCAAUCUGGGUUGUUAGAGCUGUUACAAGACUGGUAUAUAAGCUGCAGCCUUCUGGUUUUGGAGGUCAUCGUGUGAAAUAGAGAUUGAGGGAACUCAGAGAGGAAGUGUCUUACUUGUUCUUAUUCUUAGAAUCUCUGUAACAAACUUCUUGAAUCAUUCAAUAAAGCUGUCUGAGGAAUUCACUCGUGGAUGUAAGCCAUUAAUGGCUGAACCACGUUAAAGCUUGUGCUCUGUUUUGUGUGAUUGGUUUUCUUGCUGGUUUUGGUUUCUGAGUCAGUUAUUAAUCCUUUUUGUUACGAGUCUUAUUGGGUUUAGUUGAUUCUCUGAAGCUGAUCUAAGCUGAUAUUGCAUCUUGAUUAAUCUUGGCUGAGAAUCUUGGGAGGAUCUGGUUCUUCAUCAAAGCAAAGCUAACGAACCAGAUUCAACAUUGAAUUUGGCUGGUACAUCUAGAAAGAAAAUCCUAAUAGAAAUUAACGGCCGAAGCAGUAAUAUCCGUAUUUUCAGUUAGCCAAGAAUCAGCAUCCUAAAUCAUGUGAAUAAAACACUGCUGACACUUCUUUCUGAUCAUAGUAUGGAAGAAAUGGGUAUUCGAAUCCCUCUCUCAAACCCAUCAAAUACCGGAUUGUUGUCUAAGAAAAGUCUCCUCACUGGAUAAAGCAUGUGGUAAUCUGGCUCUAGCCUUAGAAAAAGCAAAUCUAUCUUCUGCCGACUGAGACAUAUAAAAAAAGAGCUCCCGAUAAGCCACUUCCUCUUCAGCCACUCUAACUCUCUGAAAGACAUUUCCGAAAACGUCUUUGUUCCAAGACUUUAAACAAAGCUUCAAUUGAACCAGCUUUUGCUGAAAGACCCGCAUCCCUCUACUUGUCACUGGAGUGGACCAGGACUGUCUUACCAUGUCAAAAAAGCUCGAAUAUUUGAUCCAAGAAUGAAGGAACUUAAAUCUCGACGGUCCCUUAGCCCACUGUCGAUCAAGAGAUAGAGGAAGAAGAGAGUGGUCUGAUGCAGUACAAUUCAGAUGAGUAACCCUGAAGACUAUAAAAAGACUAGACCACUACGAGUUGCAGACCACCCUAUCCAGACAUUGCCAAGUAUGCCCAUCAGUCUAAGUGAAUGAGCUACCUAAAAGGCUAAUUUAAGUAAAUUGCCCACUUCUUCAUAUGUGUUAAAUGGAAUAAAAGUAAAAAUAUUCCUAAUCCCGUGUAGAAGAAGUUACCUUUUAAUUUGAGGUUUUUCAUCCAGUAGUAGUAAUACAACAAAAAACCUAUUAGAAGAAUACAACCUGUAGUUAUAGGCAAAAAAAUUGCCCAUAAUAGCUACUUAUUUUGCCGAUUCUUAUUAUCCUCUUCAGCAGAAAAGUCAAAUCACUUUGUGUUAGUUAACCAUUGAUGCUUAAAUAAAGAACUUAAUUAAAGUCAUUAUGCAAAGAAGUGAUCAAAUGGAUUGCAGUGAGUCCGGAACUCCAUUUGCUUACUUGCAACUUGAAAAAGCAUCCAAUAAUGAUUAAAGGAAACUUCCCACACAUAGUAACCGCAUAGCUUCUUCUCCUUGGCCUAUGCAACCUUCACUCUAAUGGCCUCGACAUCAUCAAAACCAAACCAAAUCUUCCCAAUCGAGCAGUAAUUCACCAUGCAUAUAAGUGAAAUUGUACAUAACUUGAACCUUAGCACCAUAGUUCUUGAUGUGAUUCUUGAUUUCCUUGAAAGGCACGAAGCCGUUAUCAGACAAAGUUGGUCCUGUUGCUGCUGCACCAAUACCAUUGUCCUUAGGUUUCACAAGCGUCCAUGCAUAGCGAUAGAAAGGCAAACACAAAACCAAUUUAUCAGCCGAUAACCUUUCCUCAAUCCAUUCCGUGAUUCCAUAUUCAGUAUUAGAGACACUUCUUUGGAUAAUAUAGAGCCGCAUGAGCACUAGUAAAAUUUGUCCUUGUAGGCCUUGAGUAUUGAGCAGUGAUAACAUGAACCCAAUUCAAGUAUUGUCUUAUCGAGUCGACUGGAUAAGCUCCUGCUGUUGAGAGUGGUGAAUAUGCGACCCUAGCUGUCAAAAUCAACGGUGAUGGGCUUGAGAUAUUUCUUGCUUUUAAAGCCACAGCAGCUUGCCACUCUUUAAAGACAAUGCGAAUAUUGUACUUAUCCCAGCUUGUGUUUUCCCGAGACCAAGACAGAUCUAAGCCUUGAAAGCCAUAGAGCCUUGCUAUUUUUAUUGAGGAGUCAAUGAAGGAUUUCCUGGAAUGAGGAUUGCUCGCCAUGGAAGAAUAAGUUGAAUAGUUUGGAUUAUUUCCUCCUCCGAUGAAAAUAAGUGUAGCGAUUGAUGGGUUCUUUAUUUUGACAAUGUGUGUAAAGUUGGAGAAUUAUUCUUCAUCGGUGUUAGAGUAUAUGUGUAUGCUGAGUGUAUGUGUGUGUGUAGCUAAGCAGAGCAGUUGAGCUGAGUUACAGAGUAUGUUAAGCAUGUGUGUGUGCAGUUGGGCUGAGUUGCUAAGGUGGCUCAUUAUGAGUAUGUGCAGGCGUGUGUUGCUGAGCUGUAUGGUUAGCAGAUUCCAUGCUGAUGUGUCCAAGUUGUUAUGUGAAGAUUCUAGAGCUGUUAAAGAGUUAACAGAUGGCACAUUGUGAUUGGCUUUGAAUAAUAAUUUGUUAAUUAUGAAAUGAAAUGCAUGUACUAUUAGCUUUUGUAAUUAGUAUAAAAAGAGCAAUGUAAGCUCAGUUGAAUAUAACUUCAAUCAUUCAUUAAUAAACAAGAUCUUUCUAGAUUUACAAUAAAUUUUCUCUUUCAUUUUCUCUUCAACCAAACAGAUUCUUCAUUUCUAUUAAUCGGAAGAUGAUAAUGCGAGUUCGUAGGACGUUGAGUUGACAUCGACAAAACCACACAUAAGGUGAGUGAAAAGAGCAGAAUUUACAUCUGAAACGGGGAACCCGUUGCCUGAAUCCCAGUAACCAGCUCUGAUUAAAGUUUGUGCUCUUGCAAGAAGCGAUUUUGAAAAUAUAAAAAUGUGGAGGAUAAGAAUGAUAAUUUUGGAUGCCAUUGUGGGAACCUAGCUGCUUGAGGCAUAGCUAGUAUGUGUUUACAUAUAUAUGUGCGCACACACAAUGUAAUGGAGAAUAUAUCCUAUACGGAUUGAGAUUAGUUAUUAGACUAAUAAUACAAACUUGAGGUAACUUUCAACUCAUGAGCCUAGCCCAUAAAUUUUUAUACGAUAUCAAAGUCAAGUUACUGACGAGUGACCCUAUACUACCUUUCAACGUAAGAAGGAGCAUAUUAAAAUAUCAGCCUGCACGUGUAAGGGUAAUAGAAAAAGUAUAUCACAUUGGCUAAGAUUAAUUACUAAGUUAAUAAUAUAAGCUCAAAACAACACUCAACUCAAGGACUCGACUAGCUUACAGAAUCUGUAAGGUACAGACUGCAGCAUCAGCCGUUGGAUGUGGUUGGAUGUGGAGUGAGAAACUAAACAAUAGAAAAUCGGAUGGUGGGAUGACGGGAGAUGUUUGUUACAGAAUCUGUACCAUAGACAGGUCCCUCAACUCAAUAACAAAUUGUAAAUUAAUAAAGUUAAGUCAACUCGAUAUUUUAUAUAUUACGUCAUGAGUGAGGAGGAGUUUAAGCUGCAAAUCGCAGUCAUGAGUGAGGACAAAUUUGAUUUUCUCAAGAUUCGGCGUUUCGUACACGUUGAUCAUGGACUGAAUCAAGUUAGAAAAUAUUUUCACAAGAUUUUCCCUUCAAAUUGCAUGGAUGGAACCAUAGAGGAAUACAUCGAAAAGUUUGUCUUCUUGCCAUGAUGUUAAGUGAUAAGAUUGACGUUCUUAAAUUAAGCUAUGACGUUUUACCUCCACUUAGAUUGACUUCUGAAGCUGAAGACUCAUCCUUUUGCAUUGACUUUGUUGGUAUUUAAAUGACCUCGGAGUCUUGGACGUGUUUCUUAAGCAAUGUCAUGGUCUAUGAGCAGUUGUUUUUUUUUUGGUAAGAAAGGGAAAGUAUGUCGUUAGGAAAACAUCCUGACAAGGGGAUGGUGAGAGGGAAAAAAAAAAGAAAUAAUACUGAUAUAUAACAGUAUAAUUUUAAUUUUAAUAAAAAAUUCAAGUAAUUUUUUUUUAGUUACUUCCUGAUGAUAAGAUUCAGUAGUAUAGUAAUUUUAAUAAAAAAUUAAGACCCUUUUGUCUUUUUUCUUAUGUAAUUUAAUUUUCAGUCAAGACCACCCUCCCAUUUUAGUAUAAACGCCUAUACGAAUGUACGUUUUACUCAAUGUUUACAUAGAAACAAGUCGUGCGCAGAUGAUUUGCCGUUCUAGUACCACUCUCGUAUACUUGGUGGGAUUCGGCUUUACCAAAUUUGUAGCCUAUAUUGUACUUUAAUGAGAAAAUCAAAUAAUGUUUGAACAAAUAAUUUUCUUUUUUCUAUAUACUUUCUUAAAAUGUAUGGAGUGGGUAAAGUACAAAUUGAUUUUUUAGCCCUUUGACUCCUCCAAAAUUCAAAUUCAAAUUAAUGGUUAGUUAAAUAAUGCCACUUGAAAAUCAUUCGAACAAAUAUCGUAAAAACCAUAAUUUUACGAAGUCAAAGUUUCACUGAUUAUUGAAUUAUAGAAUGUGCUAUCAUUCCUAGCUAGAAUUUGUUUAAUUCUAUUAAUUUACAAUCAUUCUUUAUUUUAUUUAAUUAAUUAAAGUGAAUUUAUUAUGUAUAAGUUUUAUAACGGAAUUGUACUGAACUUUUUAUAAUUUUUUGUCACGCUUGCAUGUUUAACAGUUUAGUAUUAAUAUUGAUAGCACAUAAUAUAUAGGAUUAAGAGAGAUUGAUUUCGAGUUGCCACAAGCUUUUUAGGAUUGCAUGCACAAGGCUUUAAAAACAAAGGGUGCAUUUAAUUACACCAAACGAGGGUGCAUUUUUAUGAUGAAAUAAAAACUACGUGCAGGGUUGUAAAAGUGGCUCCAUAAUUAGUGUACAUUAACAUUCAUCUAGCUACCACCUCCGAAAAUGAUACAUCAUAAGCCGAGCAUUUUUCCAAAUUUGUUGUGGAUAAUAGUUCAAUCCCAAUUUCAUCGACUUGUUUUGAGAAAGCAGGCUUCUUGGGAGUAUUUAUAUUUGUGGUUUCAUUCUUGAGCAUUGAGGAAACUUCCAGCAUUGAAGGUCUAUCGUUUGGAUUCUCCUGGACACACAACAAAGCUAUCUCCAGACAUCUCAUUAAUUUACACGGGGAAUUUCUAUCAUCUAGGAAUGAAUCCACAAACUCCACGCCUUUGCCACCUUUCCACAACUCAUAUGCCUGAAAUUAUCAAGGACCAUCUUGUUACAUAAUUUAUACUUCUUAAUUAAGUGCGCAUAUGUGUACUCAAGGUUACUAUAGCCGAAGAAACUUACAUGCUCUAGAAUGCUUAAAUUUUCAUUGAUGCCACAUAACAUUGAAAGCCUCUUUCCACUUAUGAUUUGUAGAAGUAAAACUCCGAAACUAAAAACGUCUGAUUUGGUAGAGUAUACACCUUUAGUGGCGUACUCAGGAGGAAUAUAGCCUCUGCAUUCAAAAUAACCAAGUAUAUAUGAGUAAGGGAUUUUGCAAUUUAAUAAAUUUGUAAAUUUUAAACUGUGGUAAAAGUCCAUUAUGCAUUUUAUUAAAGAGCUGAAUUCCUUAUUCGAAACCCAAUAUGUGUAUAACAAACAGAAGCUUGAGUAACGGACAUCAUUUAGAAGUAAUAUACUUACAUUGUUCCCACAACUUGUUCUGUAUUCGCUUCAAGACUCUCUUUUGCAAAAAUCCUAGCCAUACCAAAAUCUGAAAUUUUAGGUUUCAUAUCUUCACUUAACAAAACAUUACUGGCUUUCAAGUCUCGAUGGAUAAUAGUCAGUCUUGAGUAUUCUUGGAGGUAUAAAAGUCCUUGAGUUAUCCCUUCAAUGAUGUGAGCACGUUUUUUCCAAUCCAAAAUAAACCUUCUGAUGGGAUCUACAACAAAUAUAUAGUUUUGGACAAUAAAUGAUAUGCAAAUAAAUUAUAUACACGAUUACUAUUAACUUGAUUCCAGAACAAACCAAAAAGGUAGCAAUCCAAGCUUUUGUUUGGCAUGUACUCGUAGAUCAGCAUCCGUUCUUCAUUGUCAAUGCAAAAACCUAAAACUCUGAUAAGAUUUACAUGUUGGAGUUUUGCAGUAAGCAUAACCUCAUUCUUGAACUCCUCAAAUCCCUGUGUCGAUGUUUUUGAGAGUUUCUUCACUGCUAUCACCUCUCCACAGGGUAACACACCCUGCAACGCAAAAAAAAUCACGUUCAUAUAAAGCUUUCACUAAUUAGAUAAGCUGGGAAAUGUUAGUCAAACAAUAUGUUACCCUCCAAAGUUGAGGGCACCAUUUUAAGUUCUUUAAGUCCCCAUGGACGCAAAAUGUUAAGCUCCUCUUACGGAAUAUGGAUAUGGGUAGAGAUAUCUUCCUAAUAGGCGUAGAUUUUUAAAUUUUAUGUUUUGGGCCUCUGAAUUUUACUACGAGUGUAUAAAUUCAAACUUCCGAUAGGAUCCAAAUUGUAGCAUUGUGGAUUGUAACAAAUUACUAUGUAUGUACACACACACACAUAUAUAUUACCUUGUAAACAGGACCAUAUCCACCCUCCCCAAGCUUAUUUCUAACUGAAAAUCUCUCGGUGGCCGCCUCAAUAUCAGCCAAACUAUAUACUCUGAGGUUAGGAACAUUUCUGUUAAAGUCUCCAGCUUCUGCUUCGUCAUUUGCUCUCGUGUUUGAUGCUUUAGGAGAGUCCUCUGUUCCUAACAUCAACCAAGAGUAAAUAUUAGAUAAUUAAUUAAAUGUCAGUCUUAGUUACAUGUAUAUGAAUGAAAUACAUUCUUAAUUAUAAUUGAUAGCUGAAACUUGUCACCUUCAAUUAACUUGAGCCUUUUCAUCCUGUUGUAUUUAUAUGCACAAAAGCCUAGAAGGAGUGUCAAAGCUGCCGCUGCGGUCAAAAUGAGCGCCGAGGAUAGACGCCGCUUAUUACUAUGUUCAUCUUUUUCAGCUGAAGCAGAAGUAAUCCUGUCUUUUUGUGCUGGAAAUAUGUAUAGUUCACCAAUUAAUAAUAACUAGCUAGAGAUACCAUAACAAUCAUUAUUAAUCAGAGAGAACAAUUAUUGCAUAGAUAAAUACCUGCAGCCUGAGAAAGCACCCAAUUAUGAUCAUCAUAAUCAACUCGCCACACAUAGUAACCAAGCAAUCUCUUCUCUUUGGUAUAGGCAAUCUUAGCUCUAACAGCCUCCACAUCAUCAAAGCCAAACCAAAUCUUCCCAAUCGAGCAGUAAUUCACCACAUAAGUUGAAUUGUACAUAACUUGAACAUUAGGACCAUAGGUCUUGAUGCGAUUCUUGAUUUCCUUAUAAGUCACAACGCCGUUAUCAUGCAAAGCUGGUCCUGUUGCUGCUGCACCAAUACCAUUGUCCUCUGGUUUCACAAGCGUCCAUGCAUAGCCAUAGAAAGGCAAAGACAUAACCAACUUAUCUGCCGAUAACCCUCUCUGUAUCCAUGCCUUUAAAACCUGAUCGGUACUUUUAGCAAAGCCGCCGCUACUUGAGCCAUGGAGAGCCGCAGGUGGCGCAGUGAAGUUUGUUGACAAAGGCUUGUAGUAGUUAGCAGUAACUGCAUGAACCCAAUUCAAGUUUCGUUGCAUCGAAUUCAAAAGAUAUGAAUUCGCUGGUGGUGAAUAACGAAAUCUUGCGGUCAAAAUCAGCGGGGAUUGCUGGCGACUAGAGUUUUUUGCCUCUAAUUUUGUAGCAGCAAUUCGCCACUCGUCAAAAAGUAAACCAAUAUUGAACAUAUCGGUGCUUGUGUUAGGAGCUGUCCAAGCAAAGUCUAGGCCCUGAAAGCCAUAAAGCCUAGCCAUUCUUAUUGAAGAGUCGAUGAAAGAUUCUCUGUGAGAAGAAUUUCUCACCAUUGAAGAAUAAAUAGAAUAGUUUGUAUCCAUUCCUUGUCCAAUGGAGAGAAGUAUAGUGAUUGAUGGGUUCUUUUUUUUCACAGUGUCUGCGAAUUUGGCGAUUUGAUUUUCAUCGGACGGUAAUGAUAAAGAUAGCUGGUAAGUGGUGGAAUUGAUAUCAGCAGAAGAGCAAAUAAGGUGAGUGAAGAGAUCAUAAUUUAUGCCCGAAAUGGUGGACACUUCGCUUAGAUUCAAGUAACCGACCCUAAUCCACGGUUUUGCUUUCGCGGGAUGAAGUUCUGAAUAGAGCAACGCGUGGAAGAUGAUGCUGAUAAUUAUGGAUGCCAUUUGAGACUUUGUUAGGAAUGGAAAUGGAUCCACAGGAGAGAAAUUAAAUAAACACUAGUUUCACAGUUCAUUUGAGUUCUUAUGUAAACUAUUAACGCAUAGGUUCAUUUCGUUCCAAAAAAAUCUUAUGUGCUCCUGAUAGGGACACAUACAUUGCAUGUUAAGAUGAUGAUAGGCUGAGAACUAAGAUUUUCUUCCAUCGCUUGGGUGACCUUUCAUGAAGAAAAAUGAUGUUUUGAUUUGCAUUUGGUUAAACUGAUGACAUAUUUCGGGCAAUAAAUAUCAGUAUUGUUUUAUUAAAUAAUAAAAAAAUUAAUUUUACAUGUACGUUGAAAGUUAAUAACUUAAUAUUGCAGUCUUUUGAGCCUGUGUUGACGUUUAUUCGGGUGUAUUCGUUUAUUAUAUAUUCCCGUUUUUCUCCCCGUGUCUGUUUUGCUACAGUGCUCUUAAAAGGAUAACAUCUUUAAUACACCUCAGAAGUAGUUAAGAAAGUCUUGAUAAAAAACCAGACAUUUUCUUUAUACUCAAAAAGUAGUUAUUGGACUAAUUAAGAUUCUAAUCCCUUUAAGAAAUAUUCAAAAGGGGUUAUUGUCACUACUUUAGUCCUUGUUGUUUUAUUUCAAAAGUUAUUUCACACUAGUGUUUAAUAUAAGAUACAAUACUACCAAAAUUCUACUCAAUAGUUUAUUUAAAAUAGUAUUGACUAUUAAAAAUAAGAAUUUACACUAAUAUUAAAUUCAACAAUUAGUAACAUUAUUUAAAAUAAUUAUAGUAUUUAAAUGGUUAUUUAUCUUUAUUAAAUAAGAUUUAACAUAAUCCUCUGCGACAUUUUACUAAAUAAGUACAGUUUUAUAUAUAAUUCAAUCUAAUCGUAAAAAAUAAUUUAUUCCAAUCCUACCUUCCAAACAUAGACAUAGUAGACAAUGAGAGCAUGAGUUAAGAGAUUAUAAAUCAUGGACCAAGGGACUAAAGAUACGGACCUUGAGAUCAUAUAUCGUGGACUAUUAGAGACUAAUGACCGUGGACAAAUCUUAGUACAUAAAAAAGGGAAUUUUAGUCAAAUGUAGUUUGAUAUUAAGGAAUUCAGCAAGCAAGCUACAAGAAUAUCCAAAAGCGUGUAAUUUAUGUUUAAGGAAAUAAGUGGAGAUAGAGAUGAAAUUGCAAAUUCAUCCCAAUCUUAAGUGGUUUAAUUCAAGAUGUAUGUUACCUACAAGCACAGUAAGCACGGUGAUGUCUCUCUUUAACACAGGGGACACAACAAAAACACUGUUAUUUUCUACCCUUUUAAAAAAUUCCAAUAAUAUGUACACGUUAUACAUACAUGCAUCACAUACGUGCGUCGAUCAUCGAUGUAAAACUAACAGCAAAUUUCUAGUAAAACAAACAUCAUUACUUUUAGUAGAAGAUAUAAAAAAUAUCAAUUAGUAACCAUUAGAAAAUAAAAAUUUAUGUAAUUGAUGCAGAUAAAUGGAAUCAAGUAGUAACAUUUCCUUCUCUUUGAAGAGAAAAGAUUAAAAACAAAAAGGGGGGCGGAGCGCAAACAUGACAAUUUUUUUUAUCCGCACAUGCCAUGAUAAUCGAUAAUCCGAUAUACCAACCGCGUCUAAUUGUCUGAAUUCUCCAGCUUAUCAAGCUUGCUCAAUUGCACCGACAGACACUGACCAUGGGAGAUUAAUCACCACUCGCAGUAUUAGAUGCGUGAAGGACACAUUCGCCAAUAAUUUAUAGCGGACAGUAGCAUUCCCCAUGCCGCACGGAGAAAAAUAGUUGGAUUUGCGUAAGUUAAAUUGACUUGACUCGAAUGGUGGUGGUUGCUGUUAAGCGGUCAGUACUUCUGGCGACUGCUUGGCUUACACGCAGUUCUUGGGGGUGUCAUUUGACUGUGAAAAAGAAUUUUGGCUUUAUUGAUAUCAUGUUGGCUUUGGAAUUUUGGAUGGCUUCGUUUGGACCAUAAGACACGAUAUCGUUCAUAACACGUUAGCAGUCCUUCUCACGGGAGAAAAACUGGGGUGGGGGCAGAUGUACCGUAUCAACUGCCGUUUAGCAAGUCCUGCUCUCGUAUGGAGUCACCACUUUGACCAGCACUUUAUCCCUUAUGGACCGAUCCGGUGCGAGCAGGGAUUGGUCUGGGUUGUGGUACGAGUUUAAAAGUGUCUCCCACAAUUGGGGUCCACUCAAGACCACCUCGUGGUUCAGACCACAAACAAAAUUGUCGUUUAGCAGAUCAUAUGAGUCCUCAAAGUGUCACUUACAAUUUUUUUUAUUAUAAAUGACUGUCAAAUAAUUAAUCAAAAUUUUAUUAUUUACGGUUAUAAUUAGAAUGAUAAAAGUUGUACAGUUACAUCCACAUAUAAGUUUAUCUUUAAAGGAUAGGGGCAAUGAAUAUAACCGUAUAAGUUAUAACCUCAUAUAAGUUUCUUUCUUCUUAUGGAUAUAACUGUAUAUGGGUGGCGUUAUAUAGUGCCCCACAGAGGCUCUUUAAAAUUAUUUUAUGUACAUUUUAAACAUUCCCUCUUUAUUGAUUUGAAACACCAAAAAUACCUCUCUUAAAUUUUAAAAAUAUAUAAAAUAAAAAAAAUUACAUGUUAAAACUAUGCUUGAUGUCUCUAGCCUAACAGUUAGCACACGUAUUGUACACUUUCACCUUUUUCUUCUCAAAUUUUUUACUCCUCUUUUCUCUAAUUCUUCACACUUCGCUACUAUCUCUAGAAGCUUAUUACUAAUUUUCUGAUCAAAUUACUUAUAUAAGUACUCUUAGUUGAUUAUCACUUCUUUAAUUUUUUUUGGAGAUUUCUCUUAAAUGAAAGAAUUAAGGUUAUGUUCUAGAAAAUUUUUAACUCCCAUAUUAUAGUUUUGAUAAUGAGAUUAUCCUUAAAUUUUCAACAUAUGAAAAUACUUCGAAACAACUAUAAAUGUGUUGAAUGAAAUAUUCUAAUAAAUUUAGAUUUUAGUACUUAUUAUUUAUUAAUUUUUUUUUAAAUUACAUUACUAAUUACUACUUGAGCUUAGCCCUUGUGACAUUAAAUUGCUGAUAGCGCCACUAAAUGUAAGUUUUAAACUCAUGUUCGAUUUCUCCCAUGUGUAAACUCUGCCUUUAAUUUAUUAUUUAGUGAUAUUACAUUGCAUUAAUUAAUACAAUACAAAUUGUUUACUAACAGAGCCUCAAGAGAGUAAUUUAUUAUUUAGUUGGCAAAUUAAACAACUGCAGCAGUCACUAGCAGCUGGCCAAGAGCUAGCAUAGAUCAAUUGUUCAUCUACCUACCACUUGUGAAAUUGUUACAUCAUUACUUGAACAUAUUUCCAAUCCAAUCGUGGUUUUGUUUUGUUCGUCUUCAAAAGCUUUGUUUGAGAAACUCGCAGGCUUCUUUGGAGUCAUUAUAUCAGCUGUAUUCUCAUUUUCGAGCAUCGAAGAAAUUUCCAGUAUAGAAGGUCUAUCGUUUGGGUUCUCCUGAACACAUAGCAAAGCUACUUGGAGACAUGUCAAUAAUUUCCACGAGGAAUUCGUUUCAUCUAGUGAUGGAUCCAUUAACUCCACGCCUUUCCCAUUCUUCCACAACUCGUAUGCCUGAAAACAUCAAAUAUGUUAUUGAGUUACAUUCAAUUGAUUAGCACUAUAAUGUUUUGAUUCAGUGUGUAUUAGAAAGGGGGUUAUGAAGAAACUUACAUACUCUACAAGGCUUAAAUUUUCAUUUUGACCAUAUCGAAUGAAAAGUCUUCUUCCACUUAUAAUUUGUAGAAUCAAAACUCCAAAACUGUAGACAUCAGAUUUAGUGGAGUAGACGCCUCUUCCAACAUAUUCAGGAGGAAUAUAGCCUCUGUAGUAUCGAGUAAUUACAAAUAUUACUAAAACUAUUUGACGUAAAAGAUUAAGUUGAUUGGUAAAGGUUCGACAAUAAUAUUAAAGACAAGUCGGAAAAAAAAAGACAAAUAUAUACUUACUGUGUUCCAACAAUUCGAUUUGUUUUUGCUUCAAGAUCAUCUUUCACAAAAAUUCUAGCCAAGCCAAAAUCAGAUAUUUUAGGUUUCAACUCUUCAUCCAACAAAAUAUUACUAACUUUUAAGUCUCGAUGAAUAAUUGUUAAUCUAGAAUAUUCUUGGAGAUAGAGAAGCCCCUGAAUAAUUCCUUGAAUGAUAUGAAUACGUUUUUUCCAAUCCAAAAUAAGCCUUCUGAUGGGAUCUGCAUCAAAUGUAAAUAUAGUUGGACGGUCAGUACCAUUAGCAUUUGGAGACGAGAAAUGCAAAUUGAGGCACAAAAAUUAGAAAUUAAGCAGUUAAGCACAUACCAAAAAGGAAAUAGUCUAAGCUUCGUUUUGGCAUAUACUCAUAGAUGAGCAUAUAUUCUUGUGUGUCAAUGCAAAAACCCAAAACUCUGAUCAGAUUUACGUGUUGAAGCUUUGCAGUAAGCAUAACCUCAUUCUUGAACUCCUCAAAUCCUUGUGUGGAUGUCUUCGAGAGUUUCUUCACUGCUAUUAUUUGUCCAUCAGAUAAUACACCCUGCAAACACGCCCCAAAAUGUUUUUUUUUAAAAGCACUAUGUUCACACACACACACACACACAAACACACGUAGCUUGCACUAAUUAAUUAAUAAGCUUAGAGAUAACCAAGCUACCGAUACAUAACCUUGUAAACAGGACCAUAUCCACCCUCCCCGAGCUUAUUUUCAAUUGAAAAUCUAUCCGUGGCCACCUCAAUAUCAGCCAAGCUAUAUUCUCUGAGAUCAGGAUCAUUGCUGUUAAAAUCUCCAGCAUCUGCUUGACUAUUUGCGCUGUCCUUUGAUGCUUUGGCUGAGUCAAUUACGGUCCAAUUAAUAUCAACCAAGAGAAAGAAAGCUAAUUUAAGUAAAUUGCCCACUUCUUCAUCUGUGUUAAAUGGAAUAGAAGUAAAAAUAUUCCUAAUCCCGUGCAGAAGAAGUUACCUUCUAAUUUGAGGUUUUUCAUCCAGCAGUAGUAAUACAGCAAAAAGCCUAUUAGAAGAAUACAAGCUGUAGUUAUAGGCAAAACAAUUGCCCAUAAUAGCCGCUUAUUUUGUCGAUUCCUUUUAUCCUCUUCAGCUGAAAAGUCAAAUCACUUUGUGUUAUUUAACCACUGAUGGUCAAAUAAAGAUCUUAAUUGAAGUCAUUAUGCAGAGAAGUGAUCGAAUGGGUAGCAGGCAGUGAGUGAGGCUUUGCAUUUGCUUACCUGCAGCUUGAGAAAGCAUCCAAUAAUGAUCACUGGAAACUUCCCACACAUAGUAACCACGUAGCUUCUUCUCCUUGGCAUAUGCAACCUUCACUCUAACGGCCUCGACAUCAUCAAAACCAAACCAAAUCUUCCCAAUCGAGCAGUAAUUCACGACAUAAGUUGAAUUGUACAUUACUUGAACAUUAGGACCAUAGUUCUUGAUGUGAUUCUUGACUUCCUUAUAAGUCACAAGGCCAUCAUCAUGCAAAGCUGGUCCUGUUGCUGCUGCGCCAAUGCCAUUGUCCUCAGGUUUCACAAGCGUCCAUGCAUAGCCAUAGAAAGGCAAACAUAAAACCAAUUUAUCAGCCGAUAACCCUUCCUCAAUCCAUUCCGUGAUUCCAUAUUCAGUAUUAGAGACACUAUUUGGAUCAUACAGAGCCGCAUGAGCACCAGUAAAAUUUUGCCACGUAGGGCUUGAGUAUUCGGUAGUGAUAACAUGAACCCAAUUCAAGUACUGUCUUAUCGAGUCGACUGGAUAAGCUGCUGCUGUUGAGAGUGGUGAAUAUGCGACCUUUGCUGUCAAAAUCAACUGUGAUUGGCUCGAGUUAUUUCUUGCUUCUAAAGCAACGGCAGCUCGCCAUUCUUUAAAGAGAAUGCCAAUAUUGUACUUAUCCCGGCUUGUGUUUGCCUGAUUCCAAGACAGAUCUAAGCCUUGAAAGCCAUAAAGCCUUGCUAUUUUUAUUGAGGAGUCAAUAAAGUAUUUCCUGAAAGAAGGAUUGCCCGCCAUGGAAGAAUAACUUGAAUAGUUUGGAUUAUUGCCUCCUCCGAUGGAAAGAAGAGUAGUGAUUGAUGGGUUCUUUAUUUUGACAGUGUCUGUGAAGUUGGAGAAUUGUUUUUCAUCAGAAGGUGAUAAAGAAAGCUCAUAGGAAGUUGAGUUGACAUCAGCAAAACCACACAUAAGGUGAGUGAAAAGAGCAGAAUUUACAUCUGAAACGGGGAACCCAUCGUCUGAAUCCCAGUAACCAGCUCUGAUUAAAGUUUGUGCCCUUGCAGGAAGCGAUUCUGAAAAUAUAAAAAUGUAGAGGACAAGAAUGAUAAUUUUGGAUGCCAUUGUGGGAACCUUGAUGCUUUGAGGCAAACCUAGUAUGUGAUUACAUAUAUAUGUACAGACACAAAAUGUAAUGGAGAAAAUAUCCGACACCGAUUGAGAUUUGUUAUUGGACUAUAAUACAAACUUGAGGCAACUUUCAACUCAUGAGCUUAGCUCAUAAGUCUUUAUACGAUAUCAAAGUCAAGUUUCGAAAGAGUGACUCUAUACUACCUUUCAAUUUAACAAAGAGAAAGAAAAGAGAUCAACCUACACGUGGUAGGAAGAUAGAAAAAGUAUAUCACAUUGGCUAAGAUUAAUUACUAGGUUGAUAAUAUAAGCUCAAAACAACACUCAGGUCCAUAACAAGCUGUAAUUUAAUAAAGUUAGGUCAACUCGAUAUUUUAUAUAGUACGUCAUGAGUGAGGAGGAGUUUAAGCUGCAAAUCGCAGUCAUGAGUGAGAACAAAUUUGAUUUUCUCAAGAUUUUGCGUUUUGUACACGUUGAUCAUGGACUGAAUCAAGUUAGAAAAUAUUUUCACAAGAUUUUCCCUUCAAAUUGCAUGGAUGGAACCAUAGAGGAAUACAUCGAAAAGUUUGUCUUCUUGUCAUGAUGUUAAGUGAUAAGAUUGAAGCUCUUAAAUUAAGCUAUGACGUUUUACCUCCACUUAGCUUGACUUCUGAAGCUGAAGACUCAUGCUUUUGCAUUGACUUUGUUGGUAUUUAAAUGACCUCGGAGUCUUGGACGUGUUUCUGAAGCAAUGCCAUGGUCUAUGAGUACAUUUUUUUUUUUGGGUAAAAAAGGGAAAGUCUGUCGUUAGGAAAACAUCCUGACAACGGGAUGGUGAGGGGGGAAAAAAACAAAUUAUACACUUAAUUAUUUCCUCAUGAUAAGAUUCAGUAGUAUUGUAAUUUUAAUAAAAAAUUAAGACCCUUUUGCCCUUUUUCUUGUGUAAUUUAAUUUUCAAACAAGACCACCCUCCAAUUUUAGUAUAAAAGCCUAUACGAAUGUCCGUUCACUUUGACUCAAUGUUUACAUAAAAACAAAUGGCGCGCAGACGAUUUGUCGAUCUAGUACCACUCUCGUAUACUUGGUGAGAUUCAGCUUCACCAAAUUUGUAGCCUAUAUUUUACUUUAAUGAGAAAAUCAAAUAUUGUUUGAACAAAUAAUUUUCUUUUUUCUAUAUACUUUCUUAAAAUGUAUGGAGUGGGUAAAGUACAAAUUGAAUUUUUAGCCCUUUGACUCCUCCAAAAUUCGAACUCAAUUUAAUGUCAAUUAAAAUAAUGCUACUUGAAAAUCAUUCAACCAAAUAUCGUAAAAACUAUAAUUUUACGAAGUGAAAGUUUCACUGAUUAUUGAAUUAUAGAACGUGCUAUCAUUUCCUAGUUAGAAUUUGUUUAAUUCUAUUAAUUUACAAUCAUUCUUUAUUUUAUUUAAUUAAUUAAAGUGAAUUUGUUUUGUAUAAGUUCUAUAUAUGUAAAAUUUUAAAAUUCAGUGUUGAACUUAAUUGUACUAAACCUUUUAUAAUUUUUUAUCACACCUGCAUGUUUAACAGUCUAGUAUUAAUAUUGAUAGCACAUAAUAUAUAGGAUUAAGAGACAUUGAUUUCGGGUGCUACAAGAUUUUUAGGAUUGCAUGCACAAGGGCUUAAAAACAAAGUGAGGAUUUAAUUACACCAAACGAGGGUGCGUUUUUAUGAUAAAAUAUAAACUACGUGCAGGGUUGUAAAAGUGGCUCCAUAAUCAGUGUACAUUGACAUUCAUCUAGCUACCACCUCCGAAAAUGAUACAUCAUUAGCCGAGCAUUUUUCCAAUUGUGUUGUAGAUAAUAGUUCAAUCCCAAUUUCAUCAACUGGUUUUGAGAAAGCAGGCUUCUUGGGAGUAUUUGUAUUUGUGGUUUCAUUCUUGAGCAUUGAGGAAACUUGUAACAUUGAAGGUCUAUCGUUUGGAUUCUCCUGGACACACAACAAAGCUAUUUCCAGACAUCUCAUUAAUUUAUAAGGAGAAUUUGUAUCAUCUAGUGAUGAAUCGACAAACUCCACGCCUUUGCCACCUUUCCACAACUCAUAAUCCUGAAAUUAUCAAGUACCAUUUUGUUACAUAAUUUAUACUUCUUAAUUAAGUGCGCAUAUGUGUACUCAGGGUUACUAUAGCCAAAGAAACUUACGUGCUCUAGAAUGCUUAAAUUUUCAUUGAUGCCACAUAACAUUGAAAGCCUCUUUCCACUUAUGAUUUGUAGAAGUAAGACUCCGAAACUUAAAACGUCUGAUUUGGUAGAGUAUACACCUUUACUGGCGUAUUCAGGAGGAAUAUAGCCUCUGCAUUCAAAAUAACCAAAAAUAAGUACGUAUAUAUAAGUAAGGGAUUUUGCAAUUUAAUAAAUUUGUAAUUACAUUGUGAUAAAAGUCUAUCCUGAAUUUUAUUAAAGAGCUGGAUUCCUUAUUCGAAACUCACUAUAUAUAUAUAUAUGUGUGUGUGUGUGUGUAUGCAUGCAUGUAUGUAUGUAUGUAUGUAUGUAUGUAUGAAUGAUAUGUAUACGCGCACACAUGUAUGUACACAUAAGUACAUCGAGUAAACACAUCAUAUAUAUAUAUUAAAAUUCUGUAUUAGCUUGGUCCUCAUAUACAUACAAACAUAUAACAAUCAGAAGCUUGAGUAAAGGAUAUCAUUUAGAUGUAAUAUACUUACAUUGUUCCCACAACUUGUUCUGUAUUCGCUUCGAGACUCUCUUUUGCAAAAAUCCUAACCAUACCAAAAUCUGAAAUUUUAGGUUUCAUAUCUUCACCUAACAAAACAUUACUGGCUUUCAAGUCUCGAUGAAUAAAAGUUAGUCUUGAGUAUUCUUAGAGGUAUAGAAGCCCUUGAGUUAUCUCUUCAAUGAUACGAACACGUUUUUUCCAAUCCAAAAUAAGUCUUUUGAUGGGAUCUACAACAAAUAUAUAGUUUUGGACAAUAAGUGAUAUGCAAAUGAAUUACAUACACGAUUAAUAUUAACUUGAUUCCAGAACAAACCAAAAAGGUAGCAAUCCAAGCUUUUGUUUGCAUGUACUCGUAGACCAGCAUCCGUUCCUCACUGUCAAUGCAAAAACUAAAACUCUAAUAAGAUUUAAAUGUUAUUCAAUUGAUUAGAACACCGAUUGAAAAGAAGUUCCUUCUAAUCAAUUGAAAACCUAAAUUCUAAUAAGAACUGAUAAAAAAAUCAAUUCGAUGUUAUUCUUUGUGGCUCUGCUUAGAAUACUGAAAAAUCAAGUCGACUUACUUAUUUUUAUAUUGAUCGUUACAAGUCUCUUGAAUUUUUUACCUACUUCAUUAACUUGUUAUUUUGAGUUGUAUCUAACAUGGCUUCACUCUUUUUUUUCUUUACUUUGGCUUGGUUUUCUUUACAACUUGAAAGGAAUUUAGAUCUAUUACAAAUAGAUGUAGGCAAUUAAAAACAAAAAAUUAAUUACUUAAUUAAUUUUCCGGAAGUACUCUUCACUGUUACUGUUCACUAAAAAAUAUUAAUUUUCCAAAAACACAAUAAAAUGCAGAAAAUUAAUGACACAAAAUUUUUUACAUGGUUUGGAUUAAUGAAUCCUACAUCCACGAGGCCACGCCCAGAUGAAAAAAAAAUUCACUAAGUUGAGAUGUUACAACCUAUGGAUUUACCAAACUUAAGACACUCACUUACAGUUUAUCACCAUACAGUUUACUCAACCUUAGACUGAAUUUGCUUCUCUUGAAUAAUCGCUACCCCUCUUGAUUCACGAUCCUCAAGGUACUUCGCAAAGUGAUCAAUAGCAAUUCUUCAAUGUCUAGUGAUCCAAGAUCCACAUAAACUCUCCACAGAGAUGAAAAGAAAAUAAGAAAACAAAUCAACACAACAUGAUGCGCCAAAUCGGGAUUCUCUAGGGAGAAGGCCGAAUUUUGCUUCUCUGCUUUAUGCUCUGUGUUGUGCGAUCAAACUUCAAUUGUGAAAUACAUCUCUUUAUAUAGGCACUAAAAUUUCACCAAAAUAGUAAGUCUUAAAAGACUUGGAUUCUUUUCAAAUAAGAGUUUAUUUCCUCUUAUAAUUCCCAUGAUUCUGAAUAGCAUUAAAUCUGAUUUUUUUGCCUUACUUGUCUCCUAAGAAAUUUUUAGAGCAUUUAAUGACUUCCUGUUUGAACCAACUUCUUGCUCUAAAUAGAUCUCAUGCGCCAAUUAUAGAAUCCCACCAUUAAUUGACUUGCUAAAAUAGACAUCUAAUAAAAUUAGGAGCCAAAAAUUCUUAAUAAAUUGCAAUCUCACUAAAUUAGGGAAUUAAUAAAUUAAUCCCUAUUACAAGAUAUGCAAUAAAUAAACUUCCAAUUUAACUAGACUUGGCAUAAAAUGCCAACUCUAUAAAUAAUGGACUUAACACAACUCAUAAAAAAUUUCUUGUUAAGACUGUAUGAACCAAUUGAACUUCAGAUUCAUACUAGAACUACGAUGAUUCAAUAAGACCUUCAAAUUAAAUCCACAGAUUCCAUGAGUGAGAACCCUUGGAUUACAUUUGUUCAAGUUUAUGCUUUGAGUAAAAUAAAAGUAGAAAUAGGAAUUUGAAAGAAGAAAUUUAGUUAUAAAAAAUUGUCAAAUAAUUAAUUGUUUGGCAUUUAUUUUAUUGGUCCCAACCCAUGUGAUCCACCAAAUGAGACGUUUUAUGUGAUUGUUUGUGCCAUGGUGCACUAGCCUCAUAUAUGUUUGUUUUUUCUUAUGGAUAUAACUGUAUAUGAGUAGCGUUAUGUAGUGCCCCAUAGGGGCUCUUUAAAAUUAUUUUAUGUGCAUUUUAAACAUUCCCUCGUUGUUGAUUUGAAACACCAAAAAUAUCUCUCUUAAAUUUUAAAAAUAUAUAAAAAAAUUAUGAGUUAAAAGAAUGUUGUAUAUCUCUAACCUAACAUAUAGCACACGUAUUGUACACUUUUGCUUUUUUCUUCUCUAAACUUUCACUCCUCUUUUCUUUGAUUCUUCACACUUCACUGAUAUCUCUGAAAAAAUUAAACUGUCUCUAGAAGCUUAUUACUAAUUUUCUCAUCUAAUUAUUUAUAUAAGUACUCUUGAUUGAUUAUCACUUCUUUAUUUUUAUUUUUUUGGGGGGAUUUCUCUUAGAUGAAAGAAUUAAGGUUAUGUUCUAAGAAAUUUUUAACUCCCAUGUUAUAGUUUUGAUAAUGAGAUUAUCCUUGAAUUUUCAACAUAUAAAAGUACUUCGAAACAACUAUUAAUUCGUUGAAUGAAAUAUCCUAAUGAAUUUAAAUUUUGGUACUUAUUUUUUAUUGAACUUUUUCUUUUAAAUUACAUUACUAUUUGAACUUUGUCCUUGUGACAUUAAAUUCUUGAUAGCGCCACUAAAUGUAAGUUUUAAACUCAUGUUUUAAAUUACGUAUCCAAGCUUUCAAUGUGAUCUAAAGAUCUCAUAGCUUCAUUCGAAAUUAAUAAAUGAUCUCUAAGUGUUACGAAAAUGAUAUCAAUGAAAUUACAAACUCUUAAGAGUUUAUAGAACAUUAAUUGAUCCAAGUCCAAUACAAACUGCUUACUAGUACAGCCUCAAGAUCUCCAUUUAUUUUUCAGUAGGCAAAUUAAGCAACUGCAGCAGUCACUAGCAGCUUGCCAAGAGCUAGCAUAGAUCAAUUGUUCAUCUACCAACCAGUUGUGAAAUUUUUGCAUCAUUACUUGAACAUAUUUCUAAUCCAAUCGUGGCUUUAUUUUGUUCAUCUUCAUGAGCUUUCUUCGAGAAAGUUUCAAGCUUCUUUGGAGUCAUUAUCUCGGCUGUGUUCUCGUUUUCGAGCAUCGAAUAAACUUCCAGCAUAGAAGGUCUAUCGUUUGGGUUCUCCUGAACACAUAACAAAGCUAUUUGCAGACACGUCAAUAAUUUCCAUGAGGAAUGCGUAAUCAUCUAGUGAUGGAUCCAUUAACUUCAUGCCUUUCUCAUCCUUCCACAACUUGUAGGACUGAAAACAUGAAAUAUGUUUUUGAGUUACAUUCAAUUAAAUAGCACUAUAAAGUUUUGAUCAAUUGUGCAUUUUAAAGGGGGUUAUGCAGAAACUUACAUAGUGUACAAGGUCUAAAUUUUCAUUAUGACCAUAUUAAAUAAAAAAUCUCCUUCCAUUUAUAAUUUGCAAAAGUAAAAUCUCAAAACUGUAGACAUCAGAUUUAGUAGAGUAGAUGCCUCUUCUACAUACCCAGGAGGGAUGUAGCCGUUGUGGUACUGAGUAAUUACAAACAUCACCGAAAUUGUUUGACCUAAAAGAUUAAGUUGAUUGGUAAAGGUUUAACAAUAAUAUUAAAGACAAGUCGAAGAAAAUAGACAUAUAUAUACUUACUGUGUUUCAACAAUUCGAUUUGUAUUUGCUUCAAGAUCAUCUUUCACAAAAAUUCUAGCCAAGCCAAUAGAUGAUAUUUUAGGUUUCAAAUCUUCAUCCAACAAAAUGUUACUAGCUUUCAAGUCUUGAUGAAUAACUAUUCAUCUAGAAUAUUCUUGAAGAUAGAGAAGCCCUUGAGUAAUUCCUUGAAUGAUAUGAAUGCGUUUUUUCCAAUCCAAAAUAAACCUUCGGAUGGGAUCUACAUAAAAUAUAAGUAUAGUUGGACGGUCUGUAGCAUUAGCAUUUGGAGAUGAGAAAUGCAAAUAAAGGAUUUCGUAGAUGAAGAAUUUCUCGCUGGAAGAAUAAGUUGAAUAAUCUGCAUUUCCUCCACCGAUGGAAAGAAGGGUAGUGAUUGUUGGGUUUUUUGUUUUCACAGUGUGGUUAGAGAAUUGUUCUUUCAUCAUAAGGUGACAAAGAAAGCUUGUAGGACAUUGGAUCGACAUAAGCAAAACCACAAAUGAGGUGAGUGAAGAGAGCACAUAAUUUAUAUCUAAAAUGGGGAAGCCAGGCCUGGUUCCCAAUAACUAGCUCUGAUUAAAGUUUGUGCUUUUGCAGGAAGCGAUUAUGAAAAUAUAAAAAUCUGGAGGACAAGAAUGACAAAUUUGGAUGCCAUUUUGGAAAGCCAGCUGCUUGAAACAUGCCUAGUCUGUAUGUGUUUUUAUACACACACAUAAUGUAGCAGAGAAAUUAUCCUACAUUAACCGAGAUUAGUUAUGGGUCUAAAUAAUAUAUGUUUUAAGCAACCCUCAACCCAUGAGUUAAGUUCGGAAGUUUAUAAACAGUAUUAGAGUCAGAGUUAGGUUAUAUAUGGACAAAUGCGCUUAUAUUACCAAACUAAAAGAUCAGCGUGCAUUUGAUGGAAUGAUAGGAAAAAUAUCCCACCUUAGUAGUUAAGAUUAGUUACUAAGUUAACAAUAUAAGAUUAAAGCAAUCUUCAACUCAUAUAACGCAAGAGUAUGAAUCAAAAUUUAAUAAAACUUGGUCAAUUCGAUAUUUUAUAAAGAUAUACGAGCUACAACUCGAGGUCGCUCAUGAGUGGGGACGAGUUAGAUUAAGGCAAUCUUCAACUCAUAUAACGUUGAUCAUGGACCGAAUCAACAUAGGAAACAAAAGUCGAGGAAGUUGAAUCUUCUGGCCUUCAACAUUGAAAAGGUUGUCUUCAUUCAAUGACGAUCGUCUUGAAGUUCUUAAAUUAAGCUACGACGUUUGCCUCCACUUAGCUUGACUUCUGAAGCUGGAGACUCUUCCUUUUGUAUUGGCUUCGUUUGUACUUAAAUUACCUCGGAGUCUUGGAUGUGUUUCUGAAGCCAUGUCAUUGUCUACGAGUAGAAAUUUUUUUUUUUUUUUUGGGGGAAGAAAGAGGAAGUCUGUCGUUACUUGUUAGGAAAACAUCAUGACAAGAGAAUAGUGAAGAAAAAAAGAGAAGAAAAGAAUAGGAAAAACCAAACUGACAAACACUUAGUUAUCGACCCCUAUGCCACUGGCCUGUAGAACACACUCCCUCAGAAGUGAUUUUAAGUUCUUGUAAUUUUCUGUAUAAUAUGAGAGCAUUUUCCUGUUUAAAGCAGGGGCAGUAACAGUGUCACAAUAGAAAGCCUCCUGAUGGUAAGAUUAACUAGUAUUGUGAUUUUAAUUGGGGGUAAAAAAGUCCCAUACGCUUAUUUCCUUAUAUGAUUUAGUUUCAAGUCAAGACGACCCUCUUCAUUUUAGUAUAAAAGUCUAUACAAAUGUACUUUUUACUCAAUGUUUACGUAGAAACCGUUGGUGGUUCAAUUGUGGGGAAUGGCAAAUGUAAAGAAAUACAACAAUAAUGAUGGAACUUUAUUACAUAAAGUAAUGUGUUUACAACUAACUCUAUAUGUAGAAGAAAAAUAAUAGUAAUAAGUAAACUGCAGAAAAUUUGUGUGCUUCAAGGCACGUUACAAAUGUCGCUUUUCUUAGGACGUUAUUUGCCCCACCAAUUAAGUGAUGCACAUGGGUUAAGCAAAUACGCCUCCAGGAUACAAUAAAGCACUUGUUUGUUUGCUUGCGUUGUGCAUAGACGAAAGCAAACCAGAAUACUCUUGAAUGUUGCAAGUCUGCCAAGAAACAAUAUAUUGUUCCUGCAGAAAACAAUAUAUUAGAUUUUUAAUGCACAAAAGAAAUUGGUAUUUUGUGUUGAAAUUCGUACUAGAAAGGAAUGAUAAGAAAAGAGUGGUGUAUGAUCAUUAAUUUCAUGUCUAAAUGGCUUAAACAUGACCCCUAUUUAUAGAUAUACUUGUGCCCCCUCAUUUGGGUUGUCAUCUUUCAUGAUACCCCUUCAUUCAUGGCCAUUGGAUCUAGAUUUGAUUUUAAUCAAUCGUCCAAAUUGAACCAUCACCAUUUCAAAUGAAAUGUCACUAUGAAAUGAUGCAUCUCUAAGUGAAAUGUUGCCAUGAAAAGUUAUAUCAUUUAGUAAAAAGAUACAUUUUCUAUAAGACACAAUUAAAUGGACAUGUCCUUACAACAAGACAUCAUUUAAUUACACGUCUUUAGUGAAAUGUACAUUUUCUAUAAGGCACAAUUAAUAGGACAUAUCUUUACCAUAAGACACCAUUUAUUUCAUUUAUUGUUAAAAAUUUUCCAACAAUCCCCCACCAUUUUCAAAAUAAAUGAAUUUUGAAAAAUUAUCUUGCGCAGGCUUGGAAAACUUAUGCAUAGAUGAAUGUGUCUUUUGGACUUGAACCUUCACUUAGUGACAAUACAUCAAAGUUAAUCAAGGUGGCAUGGUAGGCAAGCUUUGAACCAACGACCUUAAUUGACUAACCGGAUAUAUCUCACACAUAAGUUUUCAAAUUCUCAAGUAUUCCUUAGCCGACACGUGGAUUGACCCUGUGUCUAUAUCCUGUUUUCAUGAGCGCUUUAGUAACCAACCAAGUUACAUAGGAAGCGGCACCAACUCCUACACUCACAUAGGUAGACUUAUCUGGAAUGUCCCUGUAACUAAAACAUUUAUAAGUCUAUUAAAAGCUAAGCACCUUAACCUUUCCCAUAUGUUACAGGUAUCAAGCACUAACCUUUGGGACGCAUCUAAAAAUAUUAUAGUGCUUGUUAUUACAACAUAUGAUGUACUUUUGCUCAUUGAACCCAAGAUCUUGAUAUUUCAAGUGUUAGGUUGAGUUUCCAUCAUUGGUGAUAAGAUGAUGCUGGUUUCAGUCCCAUCCCCUUAGAAGUUUUUAAUACAAUAUCCAUUGCAAGGCCUUUAGUUAAGGGGUCCGCCAAAUUUUGGCAUGAUUUUACAAAGUCAAUUGUGAUUACUCUAUCUGUAAGUAAUUGUCUUACAUAACUAUGUCUUAGACCAAUGUGCCUAGACUUUCCAUUAUAAAUUUGACUAUAUGCUCUUGAUAAAGUUGCCUCACUAUCAUAGUGAAUAGAUAUAGGAGGCAUUGGUUUAGGCCAGAUAGGAAUUUCUAUAAGGAAAUUCCUUAACCAUUCAGCUUCCUUGCAACAUAAAGCCAAAGCUAUAAAUUUUGCAGCCAUGGUGGAGUCUGCUAUACAAGUUUGCUUCUUUGAGCCCCAUGAAAUAGCUCCUCCACCAAGAUUAAAAAUCCAACCACUUGUGGAUGUAUGAUCAUCUCGAUCAGUAAUCCAACUAGCAUCCGAAAAUCCUUCUAAAACUGAAGGAUAUCUAGUGUAGUAUAUACCAUAAUCCAUUGUAUGUUUUAAAUAUUUUAGAAUUCUGUACACUGCUUGCCAGUGUGCUUGGCUUGGAUUACUAGUAAAUCUACUCAGCUUUCCAACAGCGAAAGCAAUAUCAGGCCUAGUACAAGUCAUCGCAUACAUAAGACACCCAAUAACACGUGCAUAUUCUAAUUGGGAUACUGAUCUGCCAGUGUUAGGAUACAGUCUUAUGUUUGAAUCAAAAGGUGUUGACACAAGCUUACAAUCAUAAUAAUUAAAUUUCUUUAAAAUUUUCUCAAUAUAAUGUGAUUGGGUCAAUAAUAGGCCAUUCUUAUUUUUUAUAAUUUUAAUCCCCAAAAUCACAUCAGCAAGUCUCAUGUCUUUCAUAUCAAAAUUAGAUGACAAUAAUGAUUUAGUGAGUUCAAUGUUCUCACUAUCAGUACAAAAAAUUAACAUGUCAUCUACAUAUAAACAAAUAAUCACACCUUUAUUUCCAUUGAAUCUGCUAUAGACACAUUUAUCAGAUUCAUGAAUAAUAAAUCCAUUUGAGACAAUCACUUUGUCAAAUUUUUCAUGCCACUACUUUGGAGCUUGUUUAAGACCAUAUAAAGACUUGACUAGUUUACAAACUUUAUGUUCUUGUACUGGCAUAACAAACCCUUCUGGUUGUUUCAUGUAAAUUUCCUCAUUUAAUUCUCCAUUUAAGAAAGCCGUUUUUACAUCCAUUUGAUGGAUUUCAAAAUGAUAAAUUGAAGUCAAAGCAAUCAAGACUCUAAUAGUAGCAAUUCUUGCAACAUGUGCAUAAGUAUCGAAAUAAUCAAGGCCUUCUUUUUGUGUAAAGCCUUUUGCUACUAGUCUUGUUUUAAAUCUUUCAAUUGUUCCAUCAACUUUCUUUUUCUUUUUGAAAAUCCAUUUACAACUUAUAGGAUUAUAGUCAGGUGGUAAAUCAACUAAUUUCCAAGUCUGAUUACCCAUAAUAGAGUCAAUUUCAUCAUUAAUGGCCUUUUUUCCAAAAAGCAGCAUCUUGAGACUUUAUUGUCUCUUCAUUUGUGAGGGGAUCAGACUCUAUAGUAGGUGUGAUCAUGGUCUGUUUUGAUUGUGAGUCUCUUGUCCCUUCAACAAAAUGGACUAUAAAAUCUGGUCCAAAGGAUUUUAUAGUCCUUAUUCUUUUACUUGUUCUCAAAUGAUUUUGCUCAUUAUUGGCAUCACGCUUUUGACCAAUUUCUAUUUGUUUAUCAUUCUCUUGAGAAUCAAUACUUUUUGGUAUAGUGAAAAAUCUAUUUUCAUAGAAUAUUGCAUCUCUAGAUUCCACUAUAGUAUUGAUCUCAACAAAGCUAUUAGGUUCUGUUACAAGAAACCUAUAAGCUUUACUAUGCUCAGCAUAUCCUAAGAAUAUGCAUCCAAUGCCCCUUUCUCCUAAUUUCUUUAUCUUAGGUUAUGAUAGCCUUAUAAUGGCUCGACAACCCCAAACUCUUAGAUAAGAAAGAUUAGGCUUUCUCUUUUUCCAUAAUUCAUAUGGGGUCACCUUUGUUUUCUUAUUAGGCACUCUAUUUAAGAUAUAACAUGCAAUUAAAAUAGCUUCACCCCAAAAACAUUUACCAAGCCCAGCAUUAAAAAGCAUAGCAUUAACCAUUUCUAUUAACCAUUUCAUGUACAAUGCCAACAAAUUCACAAAAUUCAGAAAAAGCAUAUUCACCUCCUUUAUCACUUCUAAGGCAUUUAAUUUUAGUGUCACAAAAAUUCUCAACUUUAUUUUUAUAAGUUUUAAAUUUUUCUAACACUUGAUCUUUAGAAUAUAAUAAAUACACAUAGCAAUAUUUUGAAAAAUCAUCAAUAAAUGUUACAAAAUAUUUUUUACCACCUUUAGAAGGAUUACUAUGCAUAUCACACACAUCGCUAUGAAUUAAAUGCAAUAAAGAAGAUGUUUUUUCAAUUUUUAGAAAAUGAGGUCUUGUGAUUUUAGUCUGUACACAUACUUUACAUUUUCCAUGCAUAUCAUUUUCAUCCUUAGGAAUUAACUCUAAAUUAGCCAUAUCAUGCAAUCUUCUAAUAUUCACAUGUCAUAAACGAUUAUGCCACAAAGAUAAUGAAUCAACCAUAUAAACAGAAGAAACAUUCAUAUUAUUGAUAUUGAGUUUAAACAUUCCUUCAUACAUGUAUCAUUUCCCAACAAAGGUACCACUCUUAGAUAAUAUAAAUUUGUUUGACUCAAAAACAAGUUUAAAGCCAAACUUAUUGAGAAGGUUACCAGAUACAAGGUUUUUCCUAACUUCAGGAACAUGAUAAACAUCAGUAAGAGUUAAAGUUUUUCCAGAAGUAAACUCUAGUUGCACAUUGUCUUUUCCUUUAACUAUUGUAGUGGAGGAAUUUCCCAUGUAAAGAACAUUUCCAUCAUCCAUUGCUUUAUAAGAUUUGAAAAGGCUACGAUCUUAGCAUACAUGCUUGGUUGCACCAGAAUCUAUCUACCAUGCAUUAUCAUCUUCAAGAACAUUAAUAUCAGAUAUCAUAGCCAUAAAAUUUGUGUUCGAAACUUCCUUUUGUUUCUUCAAAAGUCGACAAUCUCUUUUGAAGUGGCCAGGUUUUCCGCAAUGGUGGCAUGUACCCUUCUUUUUCUUUUUAUUGUUUUGAUUAUCUUUGGAAUCAAACUUUCUCUUUUGGUUAUUCUUAGGGUGAUUAGAAUGCUUAAACUCCUUCCCUUCCUCUACGACAUUAAUUUUUAAAGGAUGUAGUAGUCUGAUCCUCAAGACUAUUAAGCUUGAGUUCCUCUUCAAUACGAAGACUUGGGCCUAAGCCAUCCAGACUAAUUUCCUCUUUGUUAUGUUUAAGACUUUUCUUAUAGUCUUUCCGAGAGGGAGGAAGUUUAUCAAUAAUUGAAGAGACAAUAAUAGACUCAUCCACUUUCAUGUUAUGUUAGUUGAAUUGAUCAAGAAUAUGCAAAAUCUCAUUAUAUUGUUCAACCACAAGUCUAUUAUCAACCAUUCUAUAAUUAAAAAAUUUAGAAGCCAAUAAUUUCUUACUUGUGGCAUCUUCCAUCAUGUACUUAGCCUCUAAUGAGUCUCAUAUUUCUUUUGCUGUAGGUUUGUUGUGAUAUUGAUCAAACAAAGUAUCAGACAUGGCAUUGCAAAUGUGUCCUUUGCACACGUAGUCAUCUUGCUCCCACUUCUGCCGCACUCUGGUGUCCGCUAAUAUCUCAUCCUCACGUUCUUGAGGCUUUGGUGUUGUGAGAACAUAGACCACAUUGAGACUUGUCAACAAGAAAUGCAAAUUUUUCUGCCAAUGAAUAAAGUUGCCACCAUCGAACCGCUCUAAUUUGACAAAAUCUAUUGCGAAUUGUCGAAGAGAUGAACUUGGUGCCAUUGUUGCUGAAAUAACGUCUUAAGAUUGUUGGUGGUUCAAUUGUGGGGAAUGGCAAAUGUAGAGAAAUACAACAAUAAUGAUGGAACUUUAUUGCGUAAAGUAAUGUGUUUACAACUAACUCUGUAUGUAGAAGAAAAAUAAUAGUAAUAAGUAAACUGCAGAAAAUUUGUGUGCUUCAAGGCACGUUACAAAUGUCGCCUUCCUUAAGACGUUAUUUGCCCCCACCAAUUGAGUGAUGCACAUGGGUUAAGCAAAUACGCCUCCAGGAUACAAUAAAGCACUUGUUUGUUUGCUUGCGUUGUGCAUAGACGAAAGCAAACCAGAAUACUCUUGAAUGUUGCAAGUCUGCCAAGAAACAAUAUAUUGUUUCUGCAUAAAACAAUAUAUUAGAUUUUUAAUGCACAAAAGAAAUUGGUAUUUUGUGUUGAAAUUCGUACUAGAAAGGAAUGAUAAGAAAAGAGUGGUGUAGGAUCAUUAAUUUCAUGUCUAAAUGGCUUAAACAUGACCCCUAUUUAUAGAUAUACUUGUGCCCCCUCAUUUGGGUUGUCAUCUUUCAUGAUACCCCUUCAUUCAUGGCCAUUGGAUCUAGAUUUGAUUUUAAUCAAUCGUCCAAAUUGAACCAUCACCAUUUCAAAUGAAAUGUCACCAUGAAAUGAUGCAUUUCUAAGUGAAAUAUUGCCAUGAAAAGUUAUAUCAUUUAGUAAAAAUAUUCAUUUUCUAUAAGACACAAUUAAAUGGACAUGUCCUUACAACAAGACAUCAUUUAAUUACAUAUGUCUUUAGUGAAAUGUACCUUUUCUAUAAGGCACAAUUAAUAGGACAUAUCUUUACCAUAAGACACCAUUUAUUUCAUUUAUUGUUGAAAAUUUUCCAACAGAAACAAAUGAUUUGCUGAUUUAGUACCACUUUUGUAUACUGGGUGGGAUUUGGCUCCUCCAAAUUUGUAGCCAAUAUUUUACUUUGAUGAGAAAAUCAAAUAAUGUUUGAACAAAUACUUUUUUUUCUAUGUACUUUCUUAAAACGUAUGGAGUGAGUAAAGUACAAAUUGAUUUUUUAGCCCUUUGACUCUUCCAUAUUCAAACUCAAAUUAAUGGUCUGUUAAAUAUUGCCACUUAAAAUCAUUCAGCCAAAUAUUGUAAAAACUAUAAUUUCACAAAGUCAAAGUUUCACUUAUUAUUGAAUUGUAGAGUGUGCUAUCAUUUCCUAGCUAAAAGUUUGUUUAGUUCCAUUGAG